ACAGUUAGACACUGCUUUUGUGUGAGUUUUAACCCUCUGGAGUCGAUUAACGCGUAUACGCGUUUUGGGGUAUUUUCUCCUGAUAACCCCGAAAAGAACUUAAAUUACACUUUCAGUUUUGAUCGUACAGAGAAGAGCAAUACAUCAAUCGAAUCUGUAAAGGGUCUACUUUUUUUUGUAUACAGACAUAAUAACAACAAAACUUUGUGCACUUAUAAAAUAAAGAUAACAAACAAGGAGUGCUGUCUGCAGCCUUUGUCUGCGCUGAUCUUCAGUUACAAAUGCGUCAUUAAAAUGAACUGUAACUCAGUGAAUACUCAACGAAGAGACAUGAGAGAGAUAUCUAUAGAAAGCCUGACAUGUCUACUGGCGUAUUCAAGCCGCGCGCUUCAGUGAAACAUUAUCAUCUCAAAAGCGCGUUCAGCGCGGGGGCGUGGUCGCAUUAGAAGAUAAUGAAGGGAGACGUGAAAAAUGGACAUCGCGUUGUUUUCAUAUGGAUUACUUUAUCACAGAAUAUUUGUUUUCGGCAGCACUUGUUUAGUUUAAAAGUAGACACGUCAGGCUUUCUAUAGAUAUCUCUCUCAUGUCUCUGUGUUGAGUAUUCACUGAGUUACAGUUCAUUUUAAUGACGCGUUUGUAAAUGAAGAUCAGCGCAGACAGGCUGCAGACAGCACUCCUUGUUUGUUAUCUUUAUUUUAUAAGUGCACAAAGUUUUGUUAUGUCUGUAUACAAAAAAAGUAGACCCUUUACAGAUUCGAUUGAUGUAUUGCUCUUAUCUGUACGAUGAAAACUGAAAGUGUAAUUUAAGUUCUUUUUGGGGUUAUCAGGAGAAAAUACCCCAAAAUGCGUAUAAGCGUUAAUCGACUCCAGAGGUUUAAAUAGAGCAGCUACACCUCCAUCUAUCCUAACAGUCCUGCAGACACUCCUGCUGUCUUCUAGCAAUGUUUCGUUUAGAAACAUAAAAUCCAGAUUGUUUGUGGUUAUAAAGUCAUUGAUUAGAAAUUAUUUAUUUUUUAGUGAGCAAAUGUUUAAAAAUGCUAACUUGAUGGCAGUGCUUUAUGUCUUUACAUCAAUCUUAGUUUGAUGCAUAAUAGGCCGCAGAUUAGAUGAGUUUGCCCUUCGGCUUGAAAAGGUCUUAGACUUUCUAUCACGUGAUAAAACUGAAAUAGAGAAAGCUACAGGCACACUGAGUUCCCGCUUGUUCUGUAAACAUUUGUGAAUGUUGCUGCUAUUAUAGCGGGGACCCGACACAUAUCACUGAGAGCUGCUAUCAGUUGUUUUUGGUUCACCUACAGCAGAUGGAGUGUUUGGGCCCUAGCAUUGUGGCAGCGGUCGGAGAGCUCUCACAGGAGCAGGGCCCACAGGCUUUGGUGGUUGGGGGGCCCACUGUUUUUUUGUUGAUAUCUGUGGGCUUGCAGCGAAUGAGUGCGAGAGUUUAGUCCCAGCGUACACCAAUUCCUCCAUUUUCUGUGAGAAUCACAGAAGUGGAGAUACUGGAGAGAGGGAUAAUGUGUCCGGUGAGCGAGGCUGUGUCUCUGGUGUUUCUGGUGACUGUGAUAUGUUGUCCUGGCUUCCCUGGCUGUUUUCCAGAAAGUCGUCCUUGAGUGCUGAGUCUUGUAGCUGUUUUGAUACAUCACAGUCUGUCUUGAGGAGCUCUGUGGGUAGGGCUCAGCCGGGAUAGUGUUCAUCAGCAGUGCUUGUUGUGGCUGCAUGGUGUUAUCAGUGUCCUUGUGGGAUAUGUCAACCACAUGACUCGGACCUGGUGUGUGUGUGCUGAAUGAAUUGACACACUCUGCUGAAGGAUGAUGGAGGGAAAAGUAGAUAUUGUCCUUAAGCACUCUAGCACCAAGUUUGUUUGGGUGGAGGCCAUUCGGUUUAAACAGUUGUCUAUGGCCCUAGAAAAGAUUGAAGUUGUCAAUGAAAUUCACUCCUUUUAUAUUGCAAGAUCUUUGUAGCCAUUUGUUCAGCCCAAGCAACCGUGAAAACAUUUUUGUUCCCCUUGCUGGGAGUGGUCCACUGAUGAACGACUGAACUUUGUGUCUCCGAAGUGUUUCAAAGAGUUCACUGAAGUCCUUCUUAAGGAGUUCUGACUGCUCUUUCCGAAUAUCAUUCUUCCCCACAUGGAUGAUGAUUCGAUUUGCAGUCUUGUGCUUCAUCAGAAUGUUCUGAAGUUCCUUGUUCACAUCAGAGACUGUUGCUUGAGGAAGGCAGCAUGUUUUUGUAGUCCUGCUACUGAUGUUUCUGAUAAUAGAGUCACCCACUAUCAGAGUCCUGGGCUCGGCUGUGCUCUGAGCUGAACUCCGCUGUCUGCUCGACCUUGAGCACCUGUUAAUAGCGGUGUUAGCUGCUGGCUGAUCCGAUCCAUGUUUAAUCACAUUUGGGGAUUCCUCACCCGCAUUCAUUAAUGCUUCAAAUCUGUUCUCAAGAUGUAUAGGGGGUGGUAGAAUACCAGUAUUCACAAGCCUUGUCAUAGUUGAAUCUGGGGUAGAGGAUGCUACGGCAGCAAUACGAGAAACUCGUGACAAUCUGAUGUCUCGCGUUCCUUUGGGUCUCGUUCCCUGUUUGUGCCAUUGAUUAGUGUGGCGAUCAGUUUCGGCUUGUUCCUCUACACUUGGUAUAAACUGUUGAGAUUCAGAAGAUUCAUGGGACUCACCAGCUGUAUGCUGAGAGGGUCCAUGAUGACCGUCUGUUGAGUGUUUUGCCUGUUUUGGAAGUCCAGCAAGUAACUUUGUUUAAAGAACCACAAUCCUUUGUAGAAGUUUGCAGCAGUUCAUGCAACAAGUAUAUUCAACAGGAGGCAUUUUCUCUCUCUUCUGUUUGAAUGUAGGCAGUUGUUUUGUAAGCUGCUGGCAGUGGGAGGCAAAGUCCUGUUUUUGUAGUAUUAUUCCAGACCCAGAGAGUUUUUAGUUUUAGUGUUUGUGCCAAAAAUCUGUUGUUUGAGCACUGUGCUGAUCUGCUGAAGUAAAAAUCUUAAAAAAAAAAAAAAAAAUCAGAGAAAAGUACAGAAAUAAGAAGCAAAGCGCAGAGCAGUAAGCUACAACAUCCGAACGGUAGCGAAGCCGGAAGCAGAGAGACUUUGGGUGCACCUAAUUACGUUCCCUAGUCCAGUGGUCAGGGCACUGAACAGGGAGUCAGCCAUUUCAAGGGCUGUCUCAAUUGAGAAAUCCUCCAUGAAAAAUCCCACAAUGAGCCGCAAAAACUAGGGAGCAUUGAUGAUCACUAUGCUCCCUUACUGUAAAUUACAUCACAUUUCUGGAGCACGAAACAUAAACUACACAAGCUAACUUGAUAAAUAUAAAUGACGCGGUAGACAAACCCUUUUUAGUAUAUUUCAGCGUAAACAUACAUCACUAGACAGGUAGUGAACACAUCUAACAUUUAUAAUUAAUAUUCAGUUGAAAUAUUUUAAGGACAUGUAACAGAACAAUGUGUUUAAAGAGAAUAAUAAAUAAUAUUGAAAAGAAAUUGGUCCUGCCUAUUGAGUAAUCACUGUUCCAAUGUGUCCCGACUCGACGAGACAAAACCAAUAAAACCCAUUACAGACGAGGCUUUUGUUGCAUCCAUAAUUACACAUAAUUACUGACUGUGACGAGUGGGGCGGGGCCGAGAGCCGUGGGAACAGAGCGAGGCCGGUGGAGUGAUUGGGAAAUGAGCGACACCUGCUCCACUCACCGGUCUCGAGUCCCACGGAGGAGAUGGGAGGAUACAAAAGAGGAGCGACAACAGUGAAGGACGAGAGAGGACCAGGCCUGGGUUUUAUUUUGUGUUUGGGUUUUGUUUAUGCGCGGCAGUCGCCCGUGAGGGGCUGUCGCGCUGUUUUGUAUUUAUUUUGUCAUUAAAGAUUUAUUUGAGAGUUCGCCGGUUCCCGCCUCCUUCAUGGAUCAUGGAGUUUUUAUUGUUACACUGGUGCCGAAACCCGGGAGGAAGGAGGGACGCGCUGCCGAAGAUCCCUUGCCGC
ensembl:lncRNA